rnacentral:rRNA from 1 species
UACAGAGACUGCAAGCGUUUAUUCGGAUUCACUGGGCGUAAAGGGUGCGCAGGCGGUUGGGCGUGUCAGAUGUGAAAUCCCGAGGCUCAACCUCGGAACUGCGUCUGAAACUACUCGACUAGAGUACUGGAGAGGGUAACGGAAUUCACGGUGUAGCAGUGAAAUGCGUAGAUAUCGUGAGGAACACCAGAGGCGAAGGCGGUUACCUGGACAGUUACUGACGCUGAGGAGCGAAAGCCAGGGGAGCAAACGGG